CCGCGCACCACGAGUGCCGCCCUGAAUCAUUAACUACCUGUAUUGGUAACUAAGUCGCGGUUAUCUGUUCAGACCCGGUGAAAGUACGCGAGUAUAUACCUACCUAAGUUUAAUGCGAACACAGCAGAAAAAAAAUAAAAUCCGUCGGCAUUGUGGUUUGCGGCGUUUCCCGUGAUUUAUACACAAUAAAACACACGGUAUUAUGUUUUUACGAUUU